CUAGUCCUACGGGGGGCAGCAGUGGGGAAUAUUGGGCAAUGGGCGCAAGCCUGACCCAGCAACGCCGCGUGAAGGAAGAAGGCUUUCGGGUUGUAAACUUCUUUUCUCAGGGACGAAGCAAGUGAUGGUACCUGAGGAAUAAGCCACGGCUAACUACGUGCCAGCAGCCGCGGUAAUACGUAGGGUGCAAGCGUUAUCCGGAUUUACUGGGUGUAAAGGGCGUGUGGGCGGGAAAGCAAGUCAGAUGUGAAAACCACGGGCUCAACCUGUGUCCUGCAUUUGAAACUGUUUUUCUUGAGUACUGG
rnacentral:rRNA from 1 species